AACGAACGCUGGCGGCAGGCCUAACACAUGCAAGUCGAGCGAAGCCUUCGGGCUUAGCGGCGGACGGGUGAGUAACGCGUGGGAACGUGCCCUUUGCUACGGAAUAGCCCCGGGAAACUGGGAGUAAUACCGUAUGUGCCCUUCGGGGGAAAGGUUUAUCGGCAAAGGAUCGGCCGGCGUUGGAUUAGGUAGUUGGUAGGGUAAUGGCCUACCAAGCCGACGAUCUAUAGCUGAUUUGAGAGGAUGAUCAGGCACACUGGGACUGAGACACGGCCCAGACUCCUACGGGAGGCAGCAGUGGGGAAUCUUAGACAAUGGGGGAAACCCUGAUCUGGCCAUGCCGCGUGAUCGAUGAAGGCCUUAGGGUUGUAAAGAUCUUUCAGUGGGGAAGAUAAUGACUGUACCCACAGAAGAAGCCCCGGCUAACUCCGUGCCAGCCGCCGCGGUAAGAC
rnacentral:rRNA from 1 species